GUGCACGGUCAUAGCGGUGGUUUUUACCCGGUCCCAUUCCGAACCCGGAAGUCAAGCCCACCUGCGUCAGUUUCGGUACUGUGGUGCGAGAGCCCACGGGAAGUUCUGUCACUGUGCCCC
rnacentral:rRNA from 1 species